UGGAUCUUGCAAGGUUGCCCACUUGAAAUUGUUCCAUUUUCCACUCAUGUUAUGUGCAUUUUUUAAAAGGGUGAAGAGAGAGAGAGAGAGAGAUAAGAGAGAGCUUGAAGGCGUAGUUUGACCUUAUGAGCCGUGAUAAGAUAAUACAAAGAUGCCUGGUGGAUUGGGGUGUUGGGUGAUACUUAUAGCCACUAUUGAACGUAGUGGGGCUGAGGUUGCGAUGAUGGAUUUGGGCGUUGUGGAGAAUUUGAAGGCGCGUAAAUGUGUCUAUGACUUCUGAGAGUACAUACGUGACACACCUACAUUGGCAAAUGUAACGCAAAG
rnacentral:misc_RNA from 1 species